CGCCCAAGAGUUCACAUCGACGGCGGUGUUUGGCACCUCGAUGUCGGCUCAUCUCAUCCUGGGGCUGUAGCCGGUCCCAAGGGUAUGGCUGUUCGCCAUUUAAAGAGGUACGUGAGCUGGGUUUAAAACGUCGUGAGACAGUUUGGUCCCUAUCUGCCGUGGGCGUUGGAUAUUUGAAGGGGGCUGCUCCUAGUACGAGAG
rnacentral:rRNA from 14 species